UAAGCUUCCCUCUCAAGUUUUUCUUUCUAUCAUCAAAGAUCUUCAAGCAAAUCGAAAGGGCCCUUCCGGGAGAAUUAAGUGAAGAAAUUUAUAGGGUUCGGCAGCCGAGAUUGAAGCUUAUAACAGACGGAUCGAUUCUUUGUAGUCGAGCUAAAGGUUAAGACUCAAGACGUUCGGAGCAGCAGACCCUCCGGCUAGAUAUCAAUUUCUAUAGUCAACUGUAGUUGGUGAACCUCAUUGUUAUCUAAGGGCGAGUCUAGUUCCUUUUUGGUGUACAAUUGUCUGGGAUCAUUGAAGGAUAAAAACGCGUGAAGGUUGCACCCAAGGAUGUCAAAGAUACACAAAAAGAGCACGAAAAGGCAAAAAUUGGACAAGGCCCAGAACCAGGCGCCACGCCAGGCAAUGCCUAGUCCCAAGCGAGAUGCACCGUGCAACAGCCUAGGCGAGGCGAGCUCCAGGACACGCUACAGACUUUCCCACUCAGUGCAUUGAACAUUUUCUACUUUAUUUUGGACUUGGGGAUUCCGGCCCGAACCUAUAAAUACCGCCUAAACGUGAUUAGUGGUGGUCAAUUUUGAGGGCGGCAAAGGCAUAGAAACACAAACGGAGCACAAAAUUCAUCAAUUCUUCCAUCUUUCAUCUAGUAUUCAUAGCUUUUAUGUUUAAAAAUAAUAUACUAAUUAUUGUCAUGAACAUGAGUGGCUAAGAACCUCAUUAUUCUAGGGUUAUGGGUUGUACUUGACUAUUGUUGUUUGACGGUUGAUUAUUUUGCUUGAAUUAUCAUAUGAGCUUGUUUAUUCAA